CUUCUACAAUGACUUGUUUUUUGUGCAGUUGUCUGGUCCUUUGAUGGUCACUGGUGGAGCCGAGUUGUUGAAGAAG